rnacentral:rRNA from 1 species
AUUGAACGCUGGCGGCAUGCCUUACACAUGCAAGUCGAACGGCAGCACGGGUGCUUGCACCUGGUGGCGAGUGGCGAACGGGUGAGUAAUACAUCGGAACGUACCUUAUCGUGGGGGAUAACAAAUUGAAAAAUUUGCUAAUACCGCAUAAUACUCUGAGGAGGAAAGCGGGGGAUUCGUAAGAACCUCGUGCGAUUAGAGCGGCCGAUGCCUGAUUGUCUUGUUGGUGGGGUAAAAGCCCACCAAGGCGACGAUCAGUAGCUGGUCUGAGAGGACGAUCAGCGACAAUCGCACUGGGACACGGCCCAGACUCCUCCGGGGGGCGGCAGUGGUGAAUUUUUGUCAAAGGGGGCAACCCUGAUCCACCAAUGCCGCGUGAUUGAAGAAGGCCUCCGGGUUGUAAAGCUCUUUUGUCAGGGAAGAAACACCGGCUCUAACACAGUCCUGGAAUGACGGUACCUGAAGAAUAAGCACCGGCUAACAACGUGCCAGCCGCCGCCGUAA